rnacentral:rRNA from 1 species
CGCAUAGGCGGUCAUUUAAGUCAGCUAUAAAAUGGUUUGGCUUAACCGGAUCAUGCGGUUAAAACUGGAUAACUGGAAUGCUAAAGAGGCAAAUGGAAUUCCCAGUGUAGCGAUGAAAUGCGUAAAUAUUGGGAAGAACACCGGUGGCGAAGGCGACUUACUGGCCAGCAACUGACGCUGAGGCGCGAAAGCCAGGGGAGCAAACG